UACAGAGGGUGCAAGCGUUGUUCGGAAUUAUUGGGCGUAAAGGGUGCGCAGGCGGCUUCGCGCGUGUUGGGUGAAAUCUCCCGGCUCAACUGGGAGGGGGCUCAGCAGACGGCGGAGCUUGAGGCUCGGAGGGGGGCGUGGAAUUCCGGGUGGAGCGGUGAAAUGCGUAGAGAUCCGGAGGAACACCAACGGCGAAGGCAGCGCCCUGGACGAGACCCGACGCUCAGGCACGAAAGCUGGGGGAGCAAACAGG
rnacentral:rRNA from 1 species